rnacentral:rRNA from 1 species
GAUGAACGCUGGCGGCGUGCCUAAUACAUGCAAGUCGAGCGAACGGACGAGAAGCUUGCUUCUCUGAUGUUAGCGGCGGACGGGUGAGUAACACGUGGAUAACCUACCUAUAAGACUGGGAUAACUUCGGGAAACCGUAGCUAAUACCGGAUAAUAUUUUGAACCGCAUGGUUCAAAAGUGAAAGACGGUCUUGCUGUCACUUAUAGAUGGAUCCGCGCUGCAUUAGCUAGUUGGUAAGGUAACGGCUUACCAAGGCAACGAUGCAUAGCCGACCUGAGAGGGUGAUCGGCCAAACGGGAACUGAGAAACGGUCCAGACUCCUAGGGGAGGAAGCAGUAGGGAAUCUUCCGCAAUGGGCGAAAGCCUGACGGAGCAACGCCGCGUGAGUGAUGAAGGUCUUCGGAUCGUAAAACUCUGUUAUUAGGGAAGAAUAUAUGUGUAAGUAACUGUGCACAUCUUGACGGUACCUAAUCAGAAAGCCACGGCUAACUACGUG